rnacentral:rRNA from 1 species
CAAUAGCGUAUAUUUAAGUUGUUGCAGUUAAAAAGCUCGUAGUUGGAUUUCGGAUGGGACUUGCCGGUCCGUCGUUUCGAUGUGCACUGGCCAGUCCUAUCUUGUUGUCGGGGACUAGCUCCUGGGCUUCACUGUCCGGGACUAGGAGCCGACGAAGUUACUUUGAGUAAAUUAGAGUGUUCAAAGCAAGCCUACGCUCUGAAUAUAUUAGCAUGGAAUAACAUGAUAGGACUCUGGCUUAUCUUGUUGGUCUGUGAGACCAGAGUAAUGAUUAAGAGGGACAGUCGGGGACAUUCGUAUUUCAUUGUCAGAGGUGAAAUUCUUGGAUUUAUGAAAGACGAACUUCUGCGAAAGCAUUUGUCAAGGAUGUUUUCAUUAA